CAACUGCGAUAAGUAGUGUGAACUGCAGAAACAUUGAACACAGAACAUUCGAAUGCACAUUGCGCCAUUGGAGAUACAUCCUUUGGCACGCCUGGUUCAGGGUCGUUAUCCGAAAGCGCACAGCGUGUGCGUGUGCAAGCUGCUUGACCAACCUGCGUACAGUUGAUCUUGCAUUGGUGGCGUGCGUCUGGCAUGGUGUGCGAAGUCGCGCUGGCAUGGACUUGUGUGCAAUUUUCGCGUUGCGUCCAUGUCCUGCCAAAUGAGCAGCUGGGGCGUGGCUCAACAUCUGCCCAGGCAGCACUUUGACAAGACCAAAUAAUCAUUUUUCGACCUGAACUCAGACUUGAACACCCGCUGAACUUAA
rnacentral:misc_RNA from 1 species